ACUGGAAGGAUUGAAAUAAUUGCAAUAUAAUUUAUGUCAAGAGAGUACUGAGACACACUUCAGCUACUACCAUGGAAGGAAAACUAAAACCCUUCUAUGGCUAAAACUCUGCAUAAAGAAGCUACUGCUUAAGCAUGGUUUAUUGGAAGAUAAGCAAGUUAGCCCCUCCAGAGUUUGUUCAUUGGAGUCUGGAAAAUUACACACACCCUGUGGGGUAUUUAAUAUACAAGGCAGAACUGGAUGAAUUUUAGUGUAAUGACCCAUUUCAUUUUACAACUUCUUGCUUGAAAAUAGUCUGUGAGCUACAGUUUUGUGGACUUCAGCAGUAAUUCAGAAAUUAUUUAGCCACUUCAAUAAUAAUUCAUCUUCCUUCUUCUGUUGUGAACAUAUUACUGCUAGUUUUCAGUACUGUAAGUUAAAUACGAGCUAUUCUGGCUGGCUAUAUAGACAGUCAUAUUUCUGUUUCUCUUGCUGGAGAAGUCAAGUUUCUGUGAAUACUUGCAUAUAGAAAAUUUGCUUACUGUAAAUAUUUGUGUAAAUUGUAACUAUUAUACAGCCAUUCCUGCCAGUAAAUUUUUCUACUAGCAUGUUUGCAUGAAAUAAGCAUAUAGAGGCUGCACAUGAGCACAGCUGAAAUCUAUUCAGUGAGAAAUGAAUAUCAGUAUAUUCUCACAAAUGUUUUCAAAUAUUCAUCCAGCUCUUCUUCUCCACAUACGCUUUGCAGCUAAAUCUGCAGACACUCCAGCAGUACAGCAUAAGAUGAAUAUGAGGAUGCUAUGUCUUUUUUUCUGCCUUCAUGUGGCAGUAGGAAAUGUGAUAAUGUCAGAAGGUACAGUGCGCAUAAACAAAUCUGCCAGCUAAAAUGCUUAAGACCAGACAAAUUUUAUAGGAGAUGAGUGUUUAUAUAUGCAUCUACAUAUGUGGGUUUAGUUUAUUUUAAAAAAAAAAAAAAAAAAGAGUUUGUGGUGAGGAAAGCCAAUGAAGAGAUGCGGAUGAUGUAGGUAAGUGGUCACUGUGGACAGAAUGACCCUGGAAGGAAUGGAACUUCUGGGUAGAUUCUGCUAUCCAUCAUUCUGUGAUUUGUAUUACAAGCGACAGCUGAACUGCCAUAGAUGAAUGUGUGCUUGAGGCUGAACUUUCAAAUCCCCAAAUAUUUACAAAUAGAAAAUAGCAGGUCAAAGCCCGAUUUUUUUUUCCAGUUAGAUACAGCAUGUUACAGGAUGUUUCAGUGACCUUCUUACUUGUCAUUUCUAAGGAAGUACCACUACUAUCCUGAGAAAGACUGUAUGUUCAGUGAUGGACCCACUGUCACUACGUGCUACUUGUGUGGCAGUGCCCUGUGUGCAGUGCUGGAGCUCGUGCUGUUCAGCAUCUGAGAUAUUUCUGCAGGAAAAGGUAAUUCCACUGCUGUAGGGCCUGAAUGAGAUCCCUGAGUCUUAUUUGUAGCUGAACGACCAUUUCUGAAUAUAAAGCUUGGAUGAGCUCUCUGGAUGUGCACAGAAGAUCCACAGUACAGACAGCCUGCCUCAAAGAUGAAUGUCUGUAGUUCUGUUCAUUUUUAGUGAAGAGGACAAACACUGAACCCCAAGAGGUUGCUGCCAACUCCAUGUUAUAAACUGGAAAUAUGAAGUCUGUUCCCAACUGGAGAUCUGUGCACAGGUCAGAACCAGCCUAUAGACUACGAUGUAACUCAAAGGGAAGAAAUGACCUGUCAGAAUGUUAGCAGAGGCCUUCUAACACCCAGCAGUUUUCACCUGAUGCACUGAGACCUUCAGGCCUCCCUGCUGCAGAGGUGUUUGUAGAGAAUCAGCAAGUGGAGGGUAAUUUCCCUAUAGAUGGACACCCUACAACCUCUUGGAAUGACUUUUGGAAGAACUGUCCCAUACAAUGGAGCAUCUCACCGUUCUCCAGCAAAUCCUGGCAGGCACGCACAGGCCAGCUUGCCUCCAAGAUCAGUACAGUUGCCGUAAUUAUAACAGGUUCACCAGAAGACCUGCACGCAAUUUUGGAUUCAGUUAAUCUAUAGUGCACAGUUAUUUCCAUGUGGUGCCCAGAAAACUGCUUUUCCAUCCAAUCUAUGGCACAGAGUGAUUAUUCAUAUUAUGAAUUCAAAAAUCACAGAGGAGGGAUGUCAUCCAGACUCUUUGAAAGCAGGAACCUGAGGUUUUACACCUAGAACACGUACAGACGUUCAGAUGUGGAGGCCGAAAGAACUGACCCUCAGCUGAAGAAAUGCAAGACUUUGGCAUCAAUGAAAAGUGCUGACACCCAGAUGAAAGGAUCUGACUUUUUGCCUUGCAGAAGGGCAGUUGGCUUAGUUCAUAUAUAUGAGGCUCUUUGUGUCAGCACUUGGAAACAGAAGUUAAAUUGGAAGGGACAGACAAGGACCUGCUAGUCCACCUGUGUGGGUGGGAUACCCACAAAUUCAAGCCACAGCUCCAGCAGCCAGACUGAUCAGAGCCUGCCUGCACGUGGGUCCACUGACUCCUGGGGAGUAAGGGAGUCCUCAUUGUGACUGAAAGCAGUGUAAGCCCUAACCAGACCAGAAGGACACAGGUGAGGGCAAUAGACGGGCAGUGGGAGGAUAAAGGUCUGAGCCUAACGAAGGGCCCACCUUCUCAGCCGUCUUACAGAGCACGGGAGAUGUUGAAGAGCAGGAGGAGAGCAAAAGAAACCCGGCAGCUGGACAUCGCUGGAAGGAAGCGGAGAGCACGAAGCAGCGUCUGAAGGGGAACUUGGGGAGGAUUAUGAUUCUCUCUUCUUAGGAUCAUGGCUGUACACGCCAUUUAUUUUUAAUAUCAGCUCUAGCAUAGCCCCAUGCACCGGGCUGCAUUUAUAACAAACUGGGCGUUAUGUUCCCAAGGAGAAGCGCUCCUUGUGGUCCCAGUGCGCCUCUGUAGGAUGUUGGGCAGAGUGCAGGGAUGAGAACAUGAGAACACUGGGUCUGGGCAUCGCCGCUCGAUGAAAAUGUUCAUUGGUUACUGCUUGUUUCUUUGUGUUUCGCGCAUCCAACACAGCAACUCUGCAUAGUGAGUUCUAAAUUCGCGUCGCAAACACAAGUUUACGCUUUAACCCAGACGUGGUUACAAAUUACCGUCCCACAGCCCCACUGAACGGCCGCCAGAGGGAUCCCCGAGCCGCCCAUCCCCCGGGGCCCUCCGUUUGGCAGCGCUCACCGCGGAUGCCCGGCGGGCAGUCGCACACGUAGCCCUCGGCGCUGUCGUGUCGGAAGGGCGGCUGCAGCGCAGGUUCGUGGCCGUAGCGGGUGGCCCAGGAGCGCUCCAGGCAGCGGCCCGCGGCGCACGGCGCGCUGCUGCACUCGCUGAUGUCGGUCUCGCAGUGGGAGCCGGUGUAGCCUACAAGGGUGAGCACAGAAGGAAAAGAACUGAUCCAACCACCAGCCCAUCCCCGCCGUGUCGCUAACCACGUCCAUCAGUGCUGCUUCUCCUCGGUUCUUGAACGCUUCCAGGGACAGAGACUCCACCACCUCCCUGGGCAGCCUGUUCCAAUGUACCACUGCUCUGGACUCCCCCCCCCGCCUUCCAGUGAGAAACAGAGUCCAGCAAGCAGUGCGCUCAUGCACCUCUUCUAAGGCCAUGUGGCUUCAUGCUUUCAUUGUAUCAGCAAAAAAAAGGUGAAUUUAUCUAACCCAGAGGGAUAGGUGGUGUUACAGGAGAACCUGGGGCUUACCUGGCCAGCAGUGACAGAUGUAUCCAUCAGCACUGUCCUCACAUGUGGCGUUGUUGUAGCAUGGAUGUGACCAGCACGGGGGUACAGCGGUGUCACAGUGCAGGCCCAUGAACCCAGUGCCGGUGCAGUUGCAGCUGUACCUGUGCACAGGAAAAAGCAGUCACUGCAGGAGACCAGGCUCUGUUCCCAAACAUGCCCAGAGCUCACGUGCUUUUCUUAGGUUUUAAUAUAGAAAUGUCAAUUACUUGCGUAGUUCCAAUAUUAACAGUAUCAUUCACUUGUUUUCGCUAGCAAUGCCAUUGUUAUGUGUUUAGACCUGAACAAACUGGGUAAUAUAUACAAAUACUAGAAAAUGUGCAUCUGAAAUCAUGGGGGGUCUUGCUGAGUAAUGGUUAAGACUAAACUUCUUUGGUAAUUUCUGUGUUUAAUACCAAAAUCUCAGAUCUGGAGUAAAUACAUGCAUGCUGGGCAUGAGGGAGUGCCAGAGAAACACUGGCCUCUGGGUCUGGCAGUCAAGUACAGGCUUUUCAGUGCCCUUUUUAAGUAAGCAAAAAUGUAUGGCAGGGCAGUGUGUUACUUGUGUAUGGGUUGUGCUUAAAUUUAAGAGAUGACUCAGUCCAGGUGACAUUUGGAUUGAAGAUAUAAAAUGUAAUGAUGAUGUGAAUCAGAAAAAAAAUGAUUUUCAUAUUGAUACAUUUUCAGGCUUUAAAAAAAUCUCAUGCUGAUCCCAGUGAACAAAUGCACACCAGAGCUCUUGGGCUGCGCUGGACUUCUGGGCAGGGCUGGUCCUGUUAGGUGGAGCAGCUUCCUUGCCCUGAAUUAUCUUCGUUUACUACACUUCUGUGAAUGGGCUGCAGGUAGUUUUGCAUCGGGAGCUGUGUAUUGUGUAUAUAAGUACCAGACAGUCUCCUAAUGGAGUCUAUCACUAUGGUUACUGUGAUUACUUUUGCUGCGCGGUCUCCUCCCCUUGACCCACCCGCUCCCGCUGUCCGGCUCUGCCCCACGCUCACCCCCCGGGCCGGUCGGUGCAUUGCGCUCCGUGCAGGCAGGGGCUGCUGGCGCACUCGUCCACGUCCGUCUGGCAGAGGGCGCCGCGGAAGCCGGGCGGACACAAGCAGGAGAAGGCGGCCGGAGCGUCGCGGCAGGUGGCGCCGUUCUGGCACGGCCGGGACUGGCACUCGUCCACAUCCAGCUCGCAGUUGACGCCUGGGGGGGAGAGGAGGGAGAAUGCGGGGUUAGCGAGAGGCUCCCGUUGUUGCUUUGUUGUUUCGGGGUGUGGUUGGUUGGUCUUUGCUCCAAUGUUUCGAGUGGAAGUGCCGCAGUGUGCGGCGUUUUGGUUUUGUUCUCUUGCGAGGCUUGGGAGAGUUCACCAAAUACCUGAGCAAAUAGCAAGAGCAGAACUUUUGAUGUUAACUCUAACACAGGGACAAGUUAAAUUUUCUCUCAUUCGGACCGUGCUACUGUUAUCUUUGUGUAGGACACGUGAUUAAGAAUUUAACUCUUUCCUGAUGCUGCUUUUCCUGUUCUGCUCUGAAAUUAGUACAUUUAACUAGGAACUUUUUGUUUCUUCUGAAAAUAUUGAUUGCUGCUAUUAUUUCUCUAAUCUCUGGUGUAUGUAGUCCCUCUGGACAUAGCAUGCUCAUCUAAAGACAAAUAAACAUCCAUAGAAUGGAUAAAUAUCUGAAAAUAUCUUAAAAUAUCAAAACCAAACGGGAAGCUGUUAGCUCGUAACUAUUUUCACUGCGUUUAAACUUAAUUCUCAUUAAAAUAUGUGCACUUUUUUUCAUCAUACUGGUAGUUAUGAGGCACGGUUACCAUAAUCUUAGGGAAUGUAUUCUUAAAACUUCUUGAGGUCACAGAUAAAGCAUGAGAUGGGUAAUGCCCCCAGCCUGUGCCUCGGGGGUUUGGCUGCCAAUGGGGAGCACCGCAGUGAUCCUGUGUGGAUUUAUGGUAAUGUGCAUCGCAUCCAGACAUAGUGAGUGAUCCCUCUGCAGUCGUUGCCCUGCGAAUCCGCUGUAAUUGUAAGCAAUGUGUUUGCAGAAGUGUGCCUAGUGACCGUAAAUCUGCCAGAGCGUGUUAACAGCUCACGGCAAGCACUGCGAGCCAUGUGACAAAACAAGCCCCGCUCAGCGGAGCCUCGGCCCGGCCAGCUUUCAGACCGUGGCGAUUAACAGGAGAGCUCAGCGCUGUUUUGUGCUUCACGUCUUUAAUCUAUCAGCCCAGCAACCUGCCUUAGGCAAUGCUGCCUCAGAAGAAAACUUCCCUCCCUGAUGUGCCCAGCCGAUGUGAUGUGCCGCCCGAACUGGGAUUCCUUCCCAGCCGCAGCGAGUCUGCUGUCAGGUUUUCUCAGUUGCGAGGAAGAGAGAUGAAAAGAUUGGAUCUGCAUUUGCACCUCAGUCUCAUGUUCUGUCAUGAAUAUGCUGAGCGCCAAACAUCGUGUGCCAGCAGGCAGGAAAGGAGGGCAGUGCCGGGCACUCCUUAGCCACUCCGUGGGGCCAGGACUUAGGGAGAUGUGUCAGUGCCAUGUGUACCUCACCACACUGGUGCUUGGGAUUGGGAAGAUGGAUUUUAGUGAUGUUUAUAACUUGUGGUUUCUUGGGAGACUACCUAUACGGCUUGUUUUCCAGAUGAGUCCUGCUGUGCUCUUCUUUGACAAUAAAAGGUAAAUGCAGGUGAAGGUGAAAGAUGUGUGGCCCCUACUUCCAGUUCUCAGGGUUGGACAGAGGAAUGUGUGGGCCCUGUGCAGCCCGAAGGGGGGGAUCCAGGCCCCCUUCCCUUCCUGCACUGUAGUGUGGAGCUCAGGCACCCUGGGAAGGGGAGAGCCUCCUAGAAUCCCUCUAUCUGUAUGGAGUGAGGUUGUGUCCCACCACCCAGAUGGGGUGUGUUGGAUAGCCUUCCUGAUUUUUCCUAAUCACCAGAUCUAAAAGAUCUGAAAGAGCAUAGAGCUCAUGCCUUCCCUCCAGCAGAAUUCAUAGAAGGAAUCCCCUGUUGGAAGGAAAUGUUUGAUUUUAUGGGGCGAGGUGAUGUUUUGGCACAAGGCUGAACACAGGCAGGCACAAGAACAGCAGUAGUGGUGCUUUGAUUCAACAAGAUUUUUUGCCACUUAGCAGUUUUCCUAUGUUCUUUUGGCAUGGCACCGGUUUGAAUAGCAGUGUGACAAUCUGUACCAGCAACCAGCUUGUGGGAUAGAUGUUCCAUGCUGGUAGCCUGACAACUGGGCGCCCAAAGGCUGUGGCAGUGUUCCUUUUAGUGCCUAAGGCAUACAGUGCAUCUGCCGUAAAUACUUGCAUGGUGUGUGUUUACUGCUAAGAAUACUGAGUGAGAACUAGGAUUCAUCAGUUAAUGAUUUCCUCUUAUUGUACAUUCUGCUUCAGUUACAUCAUAGUAAGAGGUACUGCAUGAGGAAUGGAUAUAGUCCAUUGUACCUAUCUCAUCUGACCCUGAAGCACUUUCUCUGUGCAAAAGGCAUACCGCUGUCUUGGGCUUGGGCUGGUUUUUGGAGCAGUCACAUGUCCUGGGUAGUUCACAGCAAAGCGUUUGAGAGGACUGGCUUCCUUUGGCGGAGUGCAGUGUGAUAAUUAGCAUCCCCGGCUGUGGGCAGCCAACAGGCGCCAUCGCCCGACUCUGCUGGGGUGAAUUAAAGCAAGUGUAAUUAGGCCAAUGGAGGGAAGGAGGCAUUUGAUUAAGGUAGCCAGCAAAACUUCGACGAGGCAAUUGGGCUUCAUUAUUUAACAGCUGCAUGACACAUGUCUUGUAAAUAAUUUCACACAUGUAGAACAUUAUCAUUGAAACUGCAGAUUUCAUGCUAAAUUUUCCAGUCUCGGGCUCUUGGUGUGUUCUAACCUCUUCCAUUUGUGCAAGAAUUAUGUGUGACAUUUCUCAGCUAUUUUAGGAAGUGCUGCAGCAUAGGAAUUGUACAGAAUACCAGCCGUAGUCCUCGAAGCAAGUAGCAACUGCAGCCUGUAACUCAGGCAUUUGGUUAACAUUACUGCUGUAGAAUUUACUGUGCAUUCUCUUCCUCCAUAUCAGGAGCUAUCACCUUUUUAACAUCUUAGGGAAAUGAGAUGAGGCUGGAUGACUUCCCGCAGUAAUUCAUGGUGUCAGGCCGGGACACUAAUGGUUGGCAAGAUCCCCCAAUAGAGUAAAUGAGGGUUUUUAUUACCAGUGGGGACACCUCUGGGCUUUCAUCCAGUAAUCCCCCUGGCUUGUGCAUUUAGCACAACUCACAGCAAGGUGCAGAAAACAACAAAAAAGAAUGCUUCUGAUAAAUCAUUUGGUUAAGUAGCCUUUAAAAGCUGCUGUUUUACUGCUGAAGGAACAGCCUGCCACUCCUGUAUGGAGCAGUGGUGAUUCAUCUCUGUGCUCCUGAGAGCAGCGUCGGAGCCGGAGCCGUGUGGCAAAGCUCUGCAGUUCCUUCUCCUUUGAGUUUUAGACAUCUCUUCCUUCCUUGGCUCUCUAAUCUCCUAAUUCUGCUUGUUCUGAGUGCUCUGCACUUGGAGUAACUCCACUUGUUUUUGGCCUAACAGCAUCCAACUGGAAACCUGCAGAAUUUUGUGAUGAAAGCAGGGCGACUCCAGCAGGCUCAGCUUCCUCCAGCAGUUUAUUUUGGUCUAAAUCUUCACUUCUCUGUCUGGGCUUUUAUUAUUUUAUUAUGUUUUCUCCCUCUGUCUCUAAGGUGUAGGUUCUGUCUCUCAAGCUGAGUUCUUGGUCUACGAAUCCAAGCCCAGGCCUCACUGACAGCGCAGGUUAAACAAAUACAGUUUCCUGAAUACCACAGGAGGUCUGGGCUGAGUCUAAUCAUUGCAGGGUAGCCAUGCUGAUUGUUAAUAGGCUUCUCCUUCCUCUUGCUUUCCCCUGGUUGUGCAGUUUUCCCCUUGCCUGGCCCGGGCUCAGACACCCGCUGGUAGCAGCGGGGUGGCAGGAAGGUAACAAGCUUCCUUCAAACAACAUUCACCCUGCUCACGAGGGAUGCUAACUGAGGGCUGGCUUCCAACAAGAGCUGCGUCAGAGCUGGAAAGCUGCUUUUUACCUCUGACUUUCCUUCCUGCAUGGGGAUUUUGGGGAUGGAGCUAUAAACCGCAUCUCUUAUUUCUUAUUCAUUUGAAUCACUUGAAGCAAUAGCUGUUCUUUCUCCCUUUCUUUUGCUGUGUGAUUCUUUUUUUCUUUGUUUACAUAGUUGGCAAUGUAUUGCUAAAACACACCCCCGUUUUGCUUUUUAAUGAUUCAGUGUGCUCUUUCUUGCUAUCCUAUCUAUGAAUUCAUCUUUGAAAUUUGAAGGGAACAGCCCCCUGCAGUGAUUCUGUGCUCUCCAGUAGAGGAAUCAGGCAAGAAAAAUCACACCUAAACCUUAAAAAUGGGACCAGAUAAAAUGGAAGUUUAUCCCCAAACGAGCAGUUUUGGAAACCUGGUCACACUUUUCCUUCUAUGUAACAUGCGUGAUACUGUAGUUCCACGUGCAUCCUCUGUUUCUGGUAGGGCAGGGGUGAGAAAGUCAACACAAUUAGUCAAGGUUAAGACUACAUAAAGUGUGUGUGACUUAUGGGCAGGGGGAGGGAUGGCUUUGGCAGAUAUAGUGGCACUUUGACUUUCCUGAUUCUGUUUGGAAAGCUAAAAUUUGGCUGUGAAAUGUCUAUUUUGCUCUGUCAGCAGGACGUUUUUAUCCUACUCCCUCACUUUCUUACCCUUUUCUAGUCCUGCAUAUCUUUCUUUCUAGGCUUUGCAACUUCCUUCUUGACAAAUGUCCAUUCUUCUAGAACAUCCUGCUGCAAUUCUUUGUAUCAUGUGAUGUGGUCAGCAGAGGGUACCUCUAUGGGGGAAGGUGUGCUUUUUGGGAUGCCUGGAACCUACUGCAAUAUUGCUGCUUUCCUUCCCAGAAAAGAAGCCUGAAAUGAGUUUUGGAAACUUUUCCUCUGGCAAAAAGAAAAGAAAUCUAUCUGUGGAUUCAGGCAGACUAAAUGAGAAAAAUAAUAAUAGGGGAAGUUUUGAGUUAUAAUACAUGACAUCAGUAGGACAUAUAGCUUAGGAAAACUUAGCAGAAGGAAAACAAAAAGGCGUAGCCAUUCUGAGAAUGGCUUGAUGUUGAGGAAAAGUGAUAGAAUAAUCUAUUUGGCCUUGAGGUCCAGUAAAACAGAAGAGGAAAAAGAAGCCUGUUAGCAAGGGUGGAUAAGGGAAAUCCAUUAGAAGAGAAAGAGCAUGAAUUGGAUGUUUUGGAAGUUGCUGAAAAAGGUACGUUUGUUCAGAAAACAGAGGAAAAUGAAAGAAGAGUGUUUUAAAGGAAAAGGCUCCUGCAAAGCAAAUAAUUAUGUUUAAGAAUACUGUUUGUUGUGAUUAGCAAGUCAACCAAGUCUAAUUAAGUCUAAUUUUAUCACUGUCAAGCGUAAGUUUUGUCUGUGGAUGAAAAGCUCUGUAUAACACUCUAAGGACUUGUAUUUUGAGAAUGCUUCUGUUAAAACACAAGUUAACCUGUGACAGUUUGAUGUUUGUUGGAGUGCUCUGUAGCUUUUGGAAAAUGUGAAAUUUCUCUAUGCAGUAUCACUACUCAACUAUGAUAAGGUGUAGCAUGCAAUGUACCAGCAGGUGCUGAGGCUGAAGGCCAUGUAGUAAGAUAGGUAUGACUGAACGCUUGUAUGCAUUUGUAUAGGAGUAGCUCUUAGAACAUGAAGUAUAGUAGUUCUCCGCAACACUGAGAAAAGGUUGUUUAAAACAGUGCUUACCUGUGUACCCAAGGGGACAGAUGCAGUAAUACCUUCCUAUAAGGUUGAGGCACGUUGCCCCAUUCAGGCACGGGUCUGACAUGCAUUCAUUCACCUCCAGGUCGCAGUGCUUGCCUUGGUAGCCUGGGACACAGUAGCAGGAAUAUUCAUCAAUCCCAUCCCUGCACACUGCUCCGUUGUGGCAUGGUCCUGAGCUGCACUCAUCAACAUCCAUUUCGCAGCGUGUACCUGUGAAUCCUGUGCGACACAGGCAGGUGGGCUUGGCCAGGCCAUCAAGGCACGUGCCUCCGUGCUCACAGGGGUUUGUGUCACACUUACUGAUGGCUAUUUCACAAGUGGUCCCAUUGUACCCAUCUGGGCACUCGCAAGUGAAACUGAGGUUUCCAGCAGAACUUAAACAGGUAGCAUUUUGAAGACAAGGGUUUGAGGAGCAAGGAUCAGAGGUUUUAUUGCAGAGUUCUUCUGUAGUGCCGAGUGACGUGUCCAUACAACGGCAAAUAUCGUCUUUAUGAUCAGUAAUGCAUGUAGAGUUCUUUUGGCAGGAGUUUGACAGGCACCUGGAAUCAUUUCUCAUGGAAAGUGAAUCUAGGAAGGAAACAAAAAAAGGUCCUGAGGACUGCCCCAGCACUUGGACUAAACCAGAAAGAGCUGAAAAUCUUACCACAAAUCUGCAUCUUGUAGAUGUGAUCAUCAAAGGCCAUGCAAUUAUCAAACUGAGUGGUGUGGAAUUUACCAGGACAUUUAUGAUUAUUACUAUUUUCUAACAAAAGUCAUAUUAUUGAAUCACAUGUGUGCUUCAGAAAAUCCUUGGAGCUUGGAUUCUUAGUCUGAGAAUCUAUUUUCCGCUUGUUUUCCCACCUAUGUGAAAAAAGUUGUUUAUAGCACCUCCCUGCCUCCCCUGUGGAUGCUCAGUUUCCUCGCUGCUGUGGAGUGAUGUGGAAGGAUGGAUUUGGAAACCUACUGCUUCUGAGAGCUACAUGGAAACAGCAGAAGAAGAUGAAAGCAUAUGGAAACAGAAACCUCCAUGCUCUGUGAUGUGAUGUGGAAGGGUGUGAUGGUGUCUGAUGUGAAGUCUGACUCAGUCUGAGCAAAUGAUUAAAGAAUAUUUUCUACUGCGUUUGCAGAAGGGGUUGUAAAGGAAAUAAAUAUUUUGGUGGUUUUGA